UACGUAGGGUGCAAGCGUUAUCCGGAUUCACUGGGUUUAAAGGGUGCGUAGGCGGGUAUAUAAGUCAGUGGUGAAAGCUCCGAGCUUAACUUGGAAACUGCCAUUGAUACUGUAUAUCUUGAAUGUCGUUGAGGUUAGCGGAAUGUUGCGUGUAGCGGUGAAAUGCUUAGAUAUGUUACAGAACACCAAUUGUGAAGACAGCUAACUAAGCGAUGAUUGACGCUGAGGCACGAAAGCGUGGGGAGCAAACAGG
rnacentral:rRNA from 1 species